CAGUCGCACGGUAACACCAGCACCUCGAGUGGUCAGGAGGUUUAUUGGGCCUAAAGCAUCCGUAGCCGGUUGCAUAAGUUUUCGGUUAAAUCUAUGCGCUUAACGUAUAGGCCGCCGAAAAUACUGUGCAGCUAGGGAGUGGGAGAGGUACACGGUACUCGAUAGGAAGGGGUAAAAUCCUUUGAUCUAUUGAUGACCACCUGUGGCGAAGGCGGUGUACCAGAACACGUUCGACGGUGAGGGAUGAAAGCUGGGGGAGCAAACCGGAUUAGAUACCCGCGUAGUCCCUGUCUCUUAUACA
rnacentral:rRNA from 1 species